rnacentral:rRNA from 1 species
ACGAACGCUGGCGGCGUGCUUAACACAUGCAAGUCGAGCGGUAAGGCCCCUUCGGGGGUACACGAGCGGCGAACGGGUGAGUAACACGUGGGUGACCUGCCCUCAGCUCUGGGAUAAGCCUGGGAAACUGGGUCUAAUACCGGAUAUGACUCCAUGACGCAUGUCGUGGGGUGGAAAGCCUUGUGCGGCUGGGGAUGGGCCCGCGGCCUAUCAGCUUGUUGGUGGGGUGAUGGCCACCAAGGCGACGACGGGUAGCCGGCCUGAGAGGGCGACCGGCCACACUGGGACUGAGACACGGCCCAGACUCCGUACGGGAGGCAGCAGGUGGGGAAUCGUUGCGCAAUGGGCGAAAGCCUGACGCAGCGACGCCGCGUGA